GGCUGUGGAGAUCGAGGCCCUUGGAUCGCUUUUCCAGGGCCCGUGGGAGAAGAGGUAGUGGAGCAGCUCUCGGAGAUCUGGCGAGGAAGGGAGGCAUACGCGAUGGCAAUCCGAGAGGAUAAGCUCGGGCCUUUGUUUGCGGUACGCUGCGGGGAAGCGAUGAUGAAAAUCCAGCAUCCAGGAACUCGUUCAAUGGCGAGGAGAUGGUUGGCGUUGCGGUGCAGUAUCUCCUACGUGAACUAGUUUCUGCUUCAUCGAAAAAAGACGAGACAGAAGUCAAUGUCCAAAGUUCGUCCAGCGCUCGUUCUCCAGAGUUGUUUCGAUCUUCAGUGAUUUGGGAAGGAAAUAGGAAGCGAGUGUUAUCUCCGCGGCCAGGAGACGAGGGUGUGAGGUCGUCUCAAUGACUGAAAACAGACAAGAACUCGCAAGAGCGUCACGGUGCAGAAGAUUCUUGUAAGUUUUUAAUUCGAUUUUGCUUCUUUUGAUAAA